CUGCCUAGUGGUGGGGGGAGUAACGUCGGAAACGGACGCUAAUACCGCAUACGUCCUACGGGAGAAAGCGGGGGGAUCUUCGGACCUCGCGCCAUUAGAUGAGCCUAGGUCGGAUUAGCUAGUUGGUGAGGUAAUGGCUCACCAAGGCGACGAUCCGUAACUGGUCUGAGAGGAUGAUCAGUCACACUGGAACUGAGACACGGUCCAGACUCCUACGGGAGGCAGCAGUGGGGAAUAUUGGACAAUGGGCGAAAGCCUGAUCCAGCCAUGCCGCGUGUGUGAAGAAGGUCUUCGGAUUGUAAAGCACUUUAAGUUGGGAGGAAGGGUAGUAACCUAAUACGUUGCUACUUUGACGUUACCGACAGAAUAAGCACCGGCUAACUUCGUG
rnacentral:rRNA from 1 species